rnacentral:lncRNA from 1 species
GGUGAAAUAAGGAAUCAAUCGGAGACCCUGCAGUUGGUCCUAUACGAUUAAUUCAAUAGCUCAAUAUCUCACUAAGCCGGAGUCACCACAGUGACCUAUACGGCCCUACUCUGCACAUCACUCGGAACUACGUAAGGUAGUCUAUACGAUGAAAGGUGUAAAAUACGCUCUAGUGCUUCUCUCAUCAUAUCAUCAGCGCGCAUAUCUAAGGUCACCCACCAGUCGGAACCCCUCUAAUGGUCUGUACGACUGGCAUGUCGGAACCCUUACAUGGUCUGUACGACAUCCACCUACUUGGAUCCAAGGCGAGCGUGCGGUGUGGUGAAUAAUAUAAGCACUAACACCUAGGGUGCAGAUUAUGAGCUCAAACAUCUCAACAACAACAAUUCAAUGAAUAAACGAACUCACCUGACUUACCUGUGCCUCCACAGCACCAUGCAACAUGUAUGCAUCAUAUAUCAAUCAUAUAACUCAUAUGAAAUUCACAUUUUCCAAAUAAUUCUAUGCAUGGCAUUUUCAAAACAUAAUUUCGCAUAAAAGCAUUUUUCUGGGAAAAACAAUAGUAUAUAGGUAAUACGAAAACAAAACUGCCCACUCACCUGGAGUUCGCCCACAACUCCCUAGCACCGUACAUCAAGGCGUCAUGACGAUUAGCGCCUAGAACAACAAUCAAAUCCAACCUCAGAAAUUCUGCCGAUAGAAUACAUAACUUAUAUAAGACACGUCACUACGUAGUUCGAUCCGGAUGAUCUGCAAUUCAGAUUUCAAAUCCGUAACUUCCAGAGGUCCACAAUAUACCUCUAGGACAACAUCCUAAAAUUUCAUUACCAUCCAACGGUCGGAUCUCCGUCAAUUUCCAAAACUAAGUGACGGUUAACAUUCUAUUUUAUGAACUUACAACUUCAAUUCCGGAAGAUCCGUAAAUCGGAUUCCCAAUCCGUAAGUUCCUAUAAUCCUCAAAUAUUACGUAUUACAACGUAUCAAAGUUUUGAUGACGAUCCAACGGUCGGAUCGUCAAUUCACAUUUUCACCUAACCACGAAAUCGUAACCAACUUAGGUUCAAUUAUUCAAUUUACGUCCAUCAAUUAUCAAAACAGAACCUAGAACCUUAAUCACAAGCUAAUAAUGACAUUGGCGGGCCAUUGGCCACGCGCCGCCGCGCGGGCCGCCGCGGGUGGCGGUUGGCCGCCCCCGGCUCGCCGGAAAAUUCAACUAUUUCCAAAAAUUACCAAAAUUUUCAGAUUUGAAGAUCUCAAUGAGUAGAACAACUUUCAUACCUGAGACCAAUGCCAAUUUGGCCUGGAAGUGCUUCAAUUUCACCAAAACCGUGAAGAACCCUAGAAUUUGGGUGUUUCCAAUUCGACCUUCAAACUUGUUCCAACGCCUCAAUUACCUCUUGGGCUUUGUUCUAGGUCCUAAAGGAAUGCUAAAGGUGUUAGUAAUUGAAAGAAAACAUUUCAAAAUUUGGAGAAUUUAAACAAAAGGGUCGCGGCACCCGUAGGGGUGUUCUUCGCGAAAUCACAACGAAAUUCAAUGAUUCUUGGGGUGAAACGUGAAGAGGGAAGGCCUAGAUGAUGAUUAGGAGUGGUACCUUGACUCAAUUCGUCGGAAAAUUGGACGAAAACGGCGAAAACCCGCCGAUUUGGAAGCUUGGGUCGCGCGGGUCAAGGGUGACCCAUUCCUCCUGUUCCCCCGUGCACCACUCUCCCUCCUUUCCCUCCUUUCCGUCCCCUGAUUGGUCAGCUUCUUCCUCUCCCUUCUUCUGGUUCACUCUCAUCUCUCUUCUUCUCCGAUUGGGCAUUUCUGCCCAGUCUCUUCUUCUUUUCUGUUUUUCUGUUUCUUCUUCUCAUACACAUACACACACCAAAAACCUUUCCCUCAUCCCAGCCAUCCAUUUCAUUCAUCAAUAAAUCUGGGCCGUCCAAUUUCAUAAAAGAAUUUCUAUAUUUUACUAAAAUUAUAAUUCCUUAAAAUUCCAAAUUUCAAACGUUAAUAACUUCUUCGAUAUAACUCCAAAUCACGAACCGUCUGCGCCCACCGCGUCCGUAACGACGAGUACUACGACGAGGAUAUGUCAAGAAAACAAAUCUUAGAUGGCACGACACAACGAUUAACCUCGAAUGAUGUGCGUGCCUCAAAGGGCAUUUUUGUAAUAUCCUUUAUUAAAACUUUAAAAAUUCUUAAAAUUAGGGACGGGCUGUCACAAUCUACCCACCUUACAGAAAUUUCGUCCUCGAAAUUUACACAAUCUUUACAAUCCAUCAAUAUCCAUGAAACAGCCCGAAACACAUCUCUCUCAUUCGAUUCUUUGACUUCUAAGUAGCUUCUUCCACUGAAAGAUUCCUGCAUAAACUUUCACCAAACUCAUAGUCUUAUUUCUCAGUACAUCAUCUUUCUAAUACAAGAUAGGCACUGGCUCCUCAUCAUACGUCAAAUCCAUAUUGACUUCCAAGGUUGAGAAGGUAUCACUCGUGAAGGAUAUGAGGUUUAAUGUCGAAGUAUCGAAACAUAAAACAUAUCAUGCCCUUUCAUCGGCUCUGGAGGCAACUCAGCCUGUACGUAACUUCACUGACUCGUUCGAUGAUCACAGAUGGUCUGACGUAUCUAGGACUUACUUGUUUUUCUUUUUAAAACAAAUCAUACCUUUCCAAGGUGAUAAUUUCAAAAUCAUUCGAUCACCUACAUAUACAUCCGGUCAGUGGCAUGUUUGUCUGCUAAGCUCUUCAGCCGAUCCUGGCCCACUUCCAGGUUAGACUUAAUUACUUGAAUAUUCCGAAUAGUCUCAUCCACUAACUCAGGGCCUUGAAUACUAUCCGUCCCCAAUUCUAACAAUUUCGAAACACAAGACAUAGCUUUCCACGGCCUUAUGGCGUUACUCUAGGGAACAAACUGAAGGGACCAACAUACCCAAGAAGUUUAACAGAUCCCAAAUCUCUUUUUCCAUAAAACAAACAAAUAAAUGUUGCGCUUGUCUGGAAAAGUUGGUGUUCUCAUACUGAAGUAACAUACGCUGACGUCACCAGUCGAUCAAUUAUUAUUCAAAUUCCAACCUAACUAUUUUGUAUACGAGGAAGCUUGUCCACGAAAUCCAUAGUAAUAUUCUCCCAUUUCCGCCGUGGAAUGGGAAAUGACUACAUUAAUCCAAAAGACUUAUUUCUUUCUGCUUUAACCUGAUGACUGAUGAUACGCCUACUAACAUACUUCGCCAUUCCUCUUUUCAUACCCGUCAAUAGUACAUGAACGAAUGGUAUGAUAAAUCUUAGUACUUUUUGGGAUGCAUUGUAGAAGUGGAAAUAAUGUACAUCGUCAAAAUUGCUUUCUUUAAUUCCACACCAUUAGGCAUAAACACUUUGUUCUUUUGCAUAGGCUUGCCAUCUGAUUCUCUAACUCUAAGGUCCUUCUUUUUCCCGUUAUUCCUUGCUUUAAAAUAAAUUCUUGAAUUUCUUCGUCAAACGCUCGAGUAUCGAGUACGAUCUACCAAAUGGGUCCAACUUAGAAAUUAGCAAGUAAGGCUUCUUCUCGAUUUUUGAUACUCAACUUUACUCCAGUAGAUUUCAAAUCCACAAGAAGAUGAACAUAGCAAGCGUACCAAGCAUUAAUUUCUCACUGGGGUCUUCCUACUAAAAUGCAUCAGCCACAACAUUAGCUUGACCACCCUCGUCACACAAUCAUAGUCACUAAGCAACUCAUUCCACCUUUGUUGCCUAAGAUUAAGAUACCUCUGAAUAAACAGAUAUUGGGUACUCUUUUGAUUUGUAACAAUCAUGCACUUUUCUUCCCAUAAAGACAAUGUCUCCAAAUCUUCAAAGCAAAGAUGAUAGCUGCUAAUUCCAAAUUAUAAUUAGGGUAAUUCAUCUUAUGAGAUCCCAAUGGCCAUGAAGCAUAGGCAAUCAUCCUACCAUGUUGCAUCAACACGCAUCCAAGUACAUUCAAAGAAGUAUUAUUAUAGACCACAUAAUUACCACUAUCGUCUGGGAGUGCGAAAACAGAUGCAUGAGUGAGGGAAUACUUUACUUGCUGAAGCUCUACUCACAAUUUUUUUUAUCCCACUCAAACUUAACCUCUUUUCUCAUCAAUCUCGCCAAGGGCGAAGCAAUAAUUAAAAUCUUGGACGAACUAUCGACAAUAUCCUGCUAAUCCGAGAAAACUCUGAACCUCAGUCACAGUUCGCAAUUGUUCCAAAUUCUCAAUCGUUGCUACUCUUUUAAGAAUCCAUUUGAAUACCUUAAGUAGAUAUAAUUAAUUUAUCCAACAUUAGCAUUUGCUAAACUUAGCAUACAUCAACGUUCCCUCAAUCUUUGCAACACCAACUUUAAAUAUCUAGCAUGCACUGCUCUAAUCUUAUCAAUCUCGUCAAUGGCAAACAAUAACAACCCGGUCCAGAUAUCACUGGAAUACUUCCUUCAGCAAACUCAUAAAAGUAGCAGGUGCAUUCGUCACUCCGUAUGGCCUCCCAACUUGAAAUGACCAUAACGAGUCCUGGAUUUAGUCUUAUGAACAUCCUCACUGUUAAUCUUCAACUAAUAUCAUUCAGACCUCAAGUCAAUCUCAGAAAGUACCCAGGCGCCUCAGAGCUGAUCAAAUAAUCAUCAAUACACAACAAUGGAUAACAGCUCUCAAUCGUUACCCGAUUCAAUUACCUAAUAUCAAUGCCUAGCCUUAAUGUCCAUUUUCUUCCUCACAAAUAAACCGGAGCUUUUCCAAUGUGAUAAUAUAAGUUGAAAUGGAACUUUUAACUCAACCUGAACCAAUCUCUAACAUAGGAUUUGUACCUAAAAAACAAUUCAAUAAUAAAACCCACAUCUCUCUGCCUGGCGGCAAUCUAGGUAAGGCAUCUGGGAAUACACCAAGAAAAUGUCUAACCAUCUUUACAUCUUCCAUACUAUUAGGAUCAACAUCAUUUAGCACCAUAUGAACUCAAUAUCUUGGCAGCCUUUUGAUAACAAUCUUCUUUGCUCUCUCAACAGGAAUAAUGGCAUAACUCACUCCACUUUACUUACCCCCAAAAGUAACCUCUGGUCAUCCAGGUCGACAAAAAUUAACUGAUUCCCCAUAGCAAUCUAGCUUGACACAAAUAUACAUUUCCUCUACCAGAGUCAUCUUGUCUCAGAAAUCUGGGAUCACUAGUAAAUCUAUCACUUCGCCUCUGACCAGUGGCAGUAAAACCUAAGCUGGGAAAAUUAGCUCUAAUUUCACCUCCUUUGAAGCUCUGAGUCCUCCGAGGUCUUUGAUAUGACGAAUCUUUAACUUUAUCGUCUUAUUCUGAUUCUCAUUCCUUUCUUAUUCCUCUUUACUCUCGCUGAUCAUAUUCUCAAAGUCUUCAAAGCCCAACAACAUCUCGUAAACUCUUGGUAAAAAGUACAAUGGAUAGUGGUCGCCAAAGAACGCAACUUCUUCUUAUUAUCCAGCCAAAAACGACAUAACACCUCGACCGAAUUAACAACAUCAGAAUGGAAACAAGGCAAGUCUGUAAACUUUCUAUAAUAUUCAUCCGUCGUCAUUUUCCUUGUCUCACAUUUGCAAUUUCUUGUUUACUACCAUCACAAUAUGCCGGGGGAAUGAACUUUUCUUAAACAAUUCUUUAACCAACUUCCAAACAGUUGUCCUUCCGAUAUCGUCGGAUAACAUUCCUAUCUCCAUCAAAAUGCAGAUUCAUCACUCAAAAACUAGGUAAAUCAUCUCGACCUACCUAUCGGGAGGAAAAUUCCCUUAACCUUGCAUAAUCUGAAACGCCUUUUCCCAAUUGAUUAAGCCAUCAAUCUGCUCCCUUAGGUCCUUCAUAUCCCUAAAGGGAUUCAAAUUUAACUUAUAACCAGUCUCAAAAGGUCCCUUUAGAUAAUAGACUGAAUCACAAUGGCAAUAGUUUCCCCCCAAACUACUAUAUCAGGGAAAUUAGGCUCAUCCGAACUACGUGGCUCGCUACGAGGCGGUAUAGUUCUGACAGAAGACACUAGGAAAUUAUCAAGAUGUCCAGAAUUGCAACCUAGGCUCUGAUACCAACUGACACACCCCGUCCCGAAGGAGGGCGUGCUGGCCGUCACGUGAGAGUGACGUAACCAUUUACACAGUUCGGAAGCUUUAAAAAAAUUUCCAAUUACUAAGAUAACACACCCGAGGGUGAGUCCUACUUUUGUGAAUUCUGUCAGAACACCGUUGGAUUCCUCGUGGCCACCAAAGCUCUGCUAACUUGAACCUGGAGGGGCGCAAAACAAAAUUGAGUGGGUCAGUAAAACAAAGUUUUUUCGAAAAACUUUUCAUUUAAAACAUUUCUAACCCCUCACCGUAAAACCUGUAUACUUUCCCAGAAAAUAGCAUAUAUAUAAACAUAUAUAUAAGCAAAACUCUCAAAUCUCAAACCUUUAACACUUUUCAGAAAUAUAUAUAUAUAUAUAUAUAUAUAUAUAUAUAUAUAUAUAUAACCAUAUGAAAUCUCAAAGCUUGAAUCCCAAAUCUUUAACAUUUUUCAAGAAAAACAUGCCAUGCCAUAAAUCAAAAUAUAAAUCAGGUGAAAUAAGGAAUCAAUCGGAGACCCUGCAGUUGGUCCUAUACGAUUAAUUCAAUAGCUCAAUAUCUCACUAAGCCGGAGUCACCACAGUGACCUAUACGGCCCUACUCUGCACAUCACUCGGAACUACGUAAGGUAGUCUAUACGAUGAAAGGUGUAAAAAUAUGCUCUAGUGCUUCUCUCAUCAUAUCAUCAGCGCGCAUAUCUAAGGUCACCCACCAGUCGGAACCCCUCUAAUGGUCUGUACGACUGGCAUGUCGGAACCCUUACAUGGUCUGUACGACAUCCACCUACUUGGAUCCAAGGCGAGCGUGCGGUGUGGUGAAUAAUAUAUAAGCACUAACACCUAGGGUGCAGAUUAUGAGCUCAAACAUCUCAACAACAACAAUUCAAUGAAUAAACGAACUCACCUGACUUACCUGUGCCUCCACAGCACCAUGCAACAUGUGUAUGCAUCAUAUAUCAAUCAUAUAACUCAUAUGAAAUUCACAUUUUCCAAAUAAUUCUAUGCAUGGCAUUUUCAAAACAUAAUUUCUCAUAAAAGCAUUUUUCUGGGAAAAACAAUAG